rnacentral:rRNA from 1 species
UGAACGCUGGCGGCGUGCCUAAUACAUGCACGUCGAGCGAACGGACGAGAAGCUUGCUUCUCUGAUGUUAGCGGCGGACGGGUGAGUAACACGUGGAUAACCUACCUAUAAGACUGGGAUAACUUCGGGAAACCGGAGCUAAUACCGGAUAAUAUUUUGAACCGCAUGGUUCAAAAGUGAAAGACGGUCUUGCUGUCACAUAUAGAUGGAUCCGCGCUGCAUUAGCUAGUUGGUAAGGUAACGGCUUACCAAGGCAACGAUGCAUAGCCGACCUGAGAGGGUGAUCGGCCACACUGGAACUGAGACACGGUCCAGACUCCUACGGGAGGCAGCAGUAGGGAAUCUUCCGCAAUGGGCGAAAGCCUGACGGAGCAACGCCGCGUGAGUGAUGAAGGUCUUCGGAUCGUAAAACUCUGUUAUUAGGGAAGAACAUAUGUGUAAGUAACUGUGCACAUCUUGACGGUACCUAAUCAGAAAGCCACGGCUAACUACGUG